AUUGAACGCUGGCGGCAGGCCUAACACAUGCAAGUCGAACGAGUGGCGGACGGGUGAGUAAUGUCUGGGCAACUGCCUGAUGGAGGGGGAUAACUACUGGAAACGGUAGCUAAUACCGCAUACCAUCAGAUGUGCCCAGAGGGGAUUAGCUUGUUGGUGGGGUAACGGCUCACAAAGGCGACGAUCACUAGCUGGUCUGAGUGGAUGACCAGCCACACUGGAACUAUGACCCGGUCCCGACUCCUACGGGAGGCAGCAGGGGGGAAUAUUGCACAAUUGGCGCAAGCCUGAUUCAGCCAUGCCGCGUGUAUGAAGAAGGCCUUCGAGUUGUAAAGUACUUUCAGCGGGGAGACGUUACCCGCAGAAGAAGCACCGGCUAACUCCGUGCCAGCAGCCGCGGUAAUUC
rnacentral:rRNA from 1 species